rnacentral:rRNA from 1 species
GACGAACGCUGGCGGCGUGCUUAACACAUGCAAGUCGAGCGGUAAGGCCCUUUCGGGGGUACACGAGCGGCGAACGGGUGAGUAACACGUGGGUGACCUGCCCUCAGCUCUGGGAUAAGCCUGGGAAACCGGGUCUAAUACUGGAUAUGACUCCAUGACGCAUGUUGUGGGGUGGAAAGCCUUGUGCGGCUGAGGAUGGGCCCCGCGGCCUAUCAGCUUUGUUGGUGGGGUGAGGCCUACCAAGGCGACGACGGGUAGCCGGCCUGAGAGGGCGACCGGCCACACUGGGACUGAGACACGGCCCAGACUCCUACGGGAGGCAGCAGUGGGGAAUCUUGCGCAAUGGGCGAAAGCCUGACGCAGCGACGCCGCGUGAGGGAUGACGGCCU